CUAUUGGCGGUUUAACUGCCCGGGCUGCAGUGCUGCUGGAGGUAGAACAGGUCGGGACCUUGUUAAUACAACUGCUGACUGCUUUCCUACACUUGUUCUCACUUGAGAGGAGCACACAAGAGGUUGGCUUACAUGGUCCUCCGCCGUAUUUUCAGCUUUCCCAUGAGCUAACUUCCCUCUCUAAGAAUUCACAAUUGUCUCACCAAAUUUGCUGAUGAUGACGGUGAAAUGUGAGAUAUAGCAUGUCUGAGCAGAGAACACAGGUGGUGAACAGCCUGGGUAAGGACAGCUGCCACUGACUUGAGUGUCAGAAGCCUGAGAAGGAGGUCCAGGGAAAGCCCACAACCCAUGGGGAAAAAGAAGCAAACAAGCCAGCCACCUGCAUGGGAGAAGAUAGGAAAGUGGUCAAUGCUGGCAACAUUGGGAACCCCAAGUGCCUUUGGCAUUUGCUGUAGAGAGGCUGCAGCAGAAAAAUCCCAGACUUACUCUGAGGGCUUGGGGAAGAAAGGGAAAGGCAGCUGGUGGCACAGGGAUAAGAAAAUGAAAUGAAAAGCACACAGAUUUGGAAAGAAGGAAAGAAGUUUUCUGUUUUGCAGACAACAAGUUUGUCCAGCCAGAAACUCUGACAAAAUCAACAAGAAAACUUCUUGAAGGGAUAAAUGGCCAUACCAAAGCUACAAAGUUUAAAGAUUAAUAUGGAAAAAGCAGUCUCCUCCUUCUAAGAGCACAUUAAAUAAAUAAAUUGAAAACAUAAAUCCUACUACCCCAUAUUAAGUAUUCAAAUAAAAAUCAAAAUACACACAGGAUCCAUAUAAGAAGAAGCACAACAUUGUGACUGAAGGAGACAGAGCAAACUGCUUCAUGUUCCCACAGAUAAGAAGAUUGAACGUUAUAAAGACGUCAGCUCUUCCCUCCUUGCUAUAUAGACUCAGUGUAAAAAAUUCCACUGUUGUGAUGAUUUGAAUGAGAAUGGACCCCAUAAGCUCAUGUAUUUGAAUGCUUGGUCCCCA